UCGCUGCGCGAAUCCGAGGAAUAGAAAAAAAACGGAGACUGCUGCUAUGACGUUAUCGAACGAUCGCCGCGACCAGAACAGCGUAAAUCGAAACGGCUUGAACAAAGAAAAAGUCGUAACACGGUUUCCGUAGAUGAACAUGCGGAAGGAUCAUUAUUGAGCUUAUCCAUUUACUUGGAUUCAAAUGAAUCGAGCUGAAUUUUCGCUGUUCGUUUCAAAGCGUUGUAUUCUCUCAACUAACGGCUAUGAAUGGUUUCUAUAGGUGUCUGGAGCAGUUGUAUGAGCGUGACUGUGGUGAUGGACAUUUGAGUUCUUGUGACUAGAAUUAAAGAAGUCUGUUAUGACUCGCCAUUCUUAAAAAACUUCAAUUAACGUUUGAUCAAUUUGACUGCACCAGCCGUAGGUGUACUUAAAGAUUUAUCAAGUCUUGUCGGUGGAUCACUCGGUUCGUAGUUCGAUGAAAAACGGGGCAAAAACCGUUAUUUGGCGUGAAUUGCAGACAUAUUGAACGCUAAAAUUUUGAACGCAAAUGGCACUAUCAGGUUUAUAUCUGUUAGUAUGUUUGGUUGAGGGUCGAUUAAUUCGUAACCUGCAGUCUGCUGUGACUGAUUUUUCGAUUAGUUAUCUGGUUUUUUAAUCGAGUACCUUUUUGGAAUGUGAAUUUGAUUGUCUAAUUCGUUUCCUAAUCGAAACAAGCAAUUUUUUAUUUCUGUGCAAUGUAUGUUUGGGGUUUCGGCGCUUUUCUAGCCGACUGAUUGGGACAAACUUAACAGUUCAUAUACUUUUCAGAAAUUUUCAGACGCCCUUACAGUACAUCACUUGACACAACACGAUUCGAUUGUCGAGGAAUUGCGCAAGAAAGAAACUUUUCGUUUUACGACCUCAACUCAAGCAAGAUUACCCGCUGAACUUAAGCACAGCAGUAAGCGAUAAAACAAAA
rnacentral:rRNA from 1 species